rnacentral:misc_RNA from 1 species
UACGGAGGGUGCAAACGUUGCGCGGAAUCACUGGGCGGAAAGCGAGCGUAGGCGGCCAUAUAAGUCGGGUGUGAAAGCCCUCGGCUCGACCGAGGAAGUGCAUUCGAAACUGUAUGGCUCGAGUACUGGAGAGGGUAACGGAAUUCCCGGUGUAGAGGUGAAAUUCGUAGAUAUCGGGAGGAACACCAGAGGCGAAGGCGGUUACCUGGACAGAUACUGACGCUGAGGCUCGAAAGCGUGGGGAGCAAACAGG